GACGAACGCUGGCGGCGUGGAUUAGGCAUGCAAGUCGAACGGUAUCAUCCUUUCGGGGGUGAGAGAGUGGCGAACUGGUGAGUAACACGUAGGUUAUCUACCCUCAAGACGGGGACAACCCAGGGAAACUUGGGCUAAUACCGGAUGUGAGCAACUUUUAGUUGUUUGAAAGGUGGCGUAAGCUGUCGCUUGGGGAUGAGCCUGCGUCCUAUUAGUUAGUUGGUGAGGUAACGGCUCACCUAGGCAAUGAUAGGUAGGCGGCCUUAACGGGUGGUCGCCCACACUGGGAUUGAGAUACGGCCCAGACUCCUACGGGAGGCAGCAGUCGAGAAUAGUCUACAAUGGUCGGAAGACUGAUAGUGCGACGCCGCGUGAACGAUGAAUCCCUUCGGGGUGUAAAAGUUCUUUUAUAUGUGAGCAGUGCUUCUUAUAUUAACAGUAUGGGGAGAGAGAUAUUAGCAUAUGAAUAAGCAAACGGCUAAAUUCCGUGCCAGCAGCCGCGGUAAAAA
rnacentral:rRNA from 1 species